UCCCAGGUGGCUCAGUGGUAAAGAAUCUGUCUGCAAUGCAGGAGGCAUGGGUUUGAUCCCUGGGCUGGGAA
rnacentral:tRNA from 1 species